UACAGAGGUCUCAAGCGUUGUUUCGGGAUUCAUUGGGCGUAAAGGGUGCGUAGGUGGCGUGGUAAGUCGGGUGUGAAAUUUCGGAGCUUAACUCCGAAACUGCAUUCGAUACUGCUGUGCUUGAGGACUUGGAGAGGAGACUGGAAUUUACGGUGUAGCAGUGAAAUGCGUAGAGAUCGAUGAAGGAAGACCAGUGGCGAAGGCGGGUCUCUGGCCCGGGUACUGACG
rnacentral:rRNA from 1 species